GACGAACGCUGGCGGCGUGCUUAACACAUGCAAGUCGAACGGAAAGGCCCUGCUUUUGUGGGGUGCUCGAGUGGCGAACGGGUGAGUAACACGUGAGUAACCUGCCCUUGACUUUAGGAUAACUUCAGGAAACUGGGGCUAAUACCGGAUAGGAGCUCCUGCUGCAUGGUGGGGGUUGGAAAGUUUCGGCGGUUGGGGAUGGACUCGCGGCUUAGCAGCUUGUUGGUGGGGUAGUGGCUUACCAAGGCUUUGACGGGUAGCCGGCCUGAGAGGGUGAACGGCCACAUUGGGACUGAGAUACGGCCCAGACUCCUACGGGAGGCAGCAGUGGGGAAUAUUGCACAAUGGGCGGAAGCCUGAUGCAGCAACGCCGCGUGCGGGAUGACGGCCUUCAGGUUGUAAACCGCUUUCGCCUGUGACGAAGCGUGAGUGACGGUAAUGGGUAAAGAAGCACCGGCUAACUACGUG
rnacentral:rRNA from 1 species